UACGAGGGGGGCUAGCGUUGUUCGGAAUUACUGGGCGUAAAGCGCACGUAGGCGGAUUGUUAAGUUAGGGGUGAAAUCCCAGGGCUCAACCCUGGAACUGCCUUUAAUACUGGCAAUCUCGAGUCCGAGAGAGGUGAGUGGAAUUCCGAGUGUAGAGGUGAAAUUCGUAGAUAUUCGGAGGAACACCAGUGGCGAAGGCGGCUCACUGGCUCGGUACUGACGCUGAGGUGCGAAAGCGUGGGGAGCAAACAGG
rnacentral:rRNA from 1 species